rnacentral:rRNA from 1 species
AAGCUCUUGAUCGAAGCCCCAGUAAACGGCGGCCGUAACUAUAACGGUCCUAAGGUAGCGAAAUUCCUUGUCGGGUAAGUUCCGACCUGCACGAAUGGCAUAAUGAUGGCGGCGCUGUCUCCAGCAGAGGCUCAGUGAAAUCGAAAUCGCUGUGAAGAUGCAGUGUACCCGCGGCUAGACGGAAAGACCCCGUGAACCUUUACUGCAGCUUGACACUGAACUUUGACCUUACUUGUGUAGGAUAGGUGGGAGGCUUUGAAGCUGGAACGCUAGUUCCAGUGGAGCCGUCCUUGAAAUACCACCCUGGUAAUGUUGAGGUUCUAACUCUGUCCCGUGAUCCGGGACGAGGACCGUGUCUGGUGGGUAGUUUGACUGGGGCGGUCUCCUCCUAAAGAGUAACGGAGGAGUACGAAGGUGCGCUCAGCGUGGUCGGAAAUCACGCGUAGAGUAUAAAGGCAAAAGCGCGCUUAACUGCGAGACCCACAAGUCGAGCAGGUACGAAAGUAGGUCUUAGUGAUCCGGUGGUUCUGUAUGGAAGGGCCAUCGCUCAACGGAUAAAAGGUACUCUGGGGAUAACAGGCUGAUACCGCCCAAGAGUUCAUAUCGACGGCGGUGUUUGGCACCUCGAUGUCGGCUCAUCUCAUCCUGGGGCUGAAGCAGGUCCCAAGGGUAUGGCUGUUCGCCAUUUAAAGAGGUACGCGAGCUGGGUUUAGAACGUCGUGAGACAGUUCGGUCCCUAUCUACCGUGGGCGCUGGAAAUUUGAGAGGAUCUGCUCCUAGUACGAGAGGACCAGAGUGGACGAACCUCUGGUGUACCGGUUGUGACGCCAGUCGCAUCGCCGGGUAGCUAUGUUCGGAAGGGAUAACCGCUGAAAGCAUCUAAGCGGGAAGCCUACCUCAAGAUAAGAUUUCCCUAGGACUUUAUGUCCUCUAAAGAGCCGUUCGAGACUAGGACGUUGAUAGGUUGGAUGUGGAAGCAUAGUGAUAUGUGAAGCUGACCAAUACUAAUUGCUCGUGAGGCUUGACUAUACAACACCCAAGCAGUUG